rnacentral:rRNA from 1 species
AUACGUAGGGAGCGAGCGUUGUCCGGAAUUACUGGGUGUAAAGGGUGCAUAGGCGGGACUGCAAGUCAGAUGUGAAAUGCCGGGGCUCAACCCCGGGGCUGCAUUUGAAACUGGGGGUUUUGAGUGAGGGAGAGGUAAGCGGAAUUUCUAGUGGUGCGGGGAAAUGCGUAGAUAUUAGGAGGAACAACGGUGGCGAAGGCGGCUUACUGGGCCUUUACUGACGCUGAGGCACGAAAGCGUGGGGAGCAAACAGGAUUAGAUACCCUGGUAGUCCACGCUGUAAACGAUGAUGGCUAGGUGUGGGUGGACUGAACCCUUCCGUGCCGCAGUUAACACAAUAAGUCAUCCACCUGGGGAGUACGGCCGCAAGGUUGAAACUUAAAUGAAUUGGCGGGG